rnacentral:snRNA from 1 species
GAAUGUCAGGGCCAUCCAGUUGCAACAUCUGUCACUCCAUUGAUUGCCAGGUUGAGUCAACUGAUCUCGCUGGCUAGGCAUGUGUCCCCCUCCUUCCUCACCAUUCCACAUGCGUCCCCCCAAAGCUGUGCUGCUUGGUCGAUGAGGACAACCAUCCCCGAUAGAGGAGGACCAGUCUUCAGUCAAGGCUAUACAAGUAACUGCACUCCCCUUCUGGAACCUUCAAACAAGCUCUCAGGAGAAUAUAUUUAAGUGAACAGUUAGGGGCAAGAAUAAGGUUGCUUAAUGAUUUCACUGCAUGUGAGUGGUUGAAA